rnacentral:rRNA from 1 species
UACGGGGGGGGCAAGCGUUGUUCGGAAUUACUGGGCGUAAAGGGCUCGUAGGCGGCCAACUAAGUCGGAUGUGAAAUCCCCAGGCUUAACCUGGGAACUGCAUCCGAUACUGGAUGGCUUGAAUCCGGGAGAGGGAUGCAGAAUUCCAGGUGUAGCGGUGAAAUGCGUAGAUAUCUGGAGGAACACCAAUGGCGAAGGCAGCACUCUGGGACGUGACUGACGCUGAGACGCGAAAGCGUGGGGAGCAAACAGG